rnacentral:rRNA from 1 species
GACGAACGCUGGCGGCAUGCCUAAUACAUGCAAGUCGAGCGAACAGAUGAAGUGCUUGCACUUCUGACGUUAGCGGCGAACGGGUGAGUAACACGUAGGGAAUCUACCUAUAAGCGGGGGAUAACAUUCGGAAACGGGUGCUAAUACCGCAUAAUAUCUUCUUCCGCAUGGAAGAAGAUUGAAAGACGGCUCUGCUGUCACUUAUAGAUGACCUUGCGGUGCAUUAGUUAGUUGGUGGGGUAAUGGUCUACCAAGACGAUGAUGCAUAGCCGACCUGAGAGGGUGAUCGGCCACAUUGGGGCUGAGACACGGCCCAAACUCCUACGGGAGGCAGCAGUAGGGAAUCUUCCGCAAUGGGCGAAAGCCUGACGGAGCAAUGCCGCGUGAGUGAAGAAGGCCUUCGGGUCGUAAAACUCUGUUAUAAGAGAAGAACAAAUUGUAGAGUAACUGCUACAGUCUUGACGGUAUCUUAUCAGAAAGCCACGGCUAACUACGUGCCAGCCGCCGCCGUAA